GUGGGUAUAGCUCAGCCGGUAGAGCGUCUGGUUGUGGUCCAGAAGGUCGCGGGUUCAAGUCCCGUUACUCACCCCA
rnacentral:tRNA from 1 species